rnacentral:tRNA from 1 species
GGGCGUGUAGCUCAAUUGGUAGAGCAGGUGCCUCUUAAGCACUUGGUUGUGGGUUCGAGUCCCGCCAUGCCCA